AAGUAUCCAGGGAUGGGAAUCGAACCCACAGUGUUCCGCUUACCGGGCAGAUGCCAUGUCCACUAGGAAAGAAAACU
rnacentral:tRNA from 1 species